GUUUGAUUAAGAUUUGAUUUAGGGUUAGGAUUUGGUUAGGAUUUAGUUAGGAUUUGGUUUAGGAUUUAGGAUUUGGUUUAGGAUUUAGGAUUUGAUUAGGAUUUGAUUUAAGAUUAGGAUUUGGUUAGGAUUUGAUUUAGGAUUAAGAUUUGGUUAGGAUUUGAUUUAAGAUUAGGAUUUAGUUUAGGAUUUAGGGUUUGGUUUAGGAUUUAGGGUUUGGUUUAGGGUUUAAGGUUUGGUUAGGAUUUGAUUUAGGAUUAGGAUUUGAUUAGGAGUUGAUUUAGAAUUUAGGAUUUGGUCAUGAUUUGAUUUAGGAUUUAGGAUUUUAUUUGAGUUUGUUUUGGAUUUAAGAUUUAGUUAGUAUUUGGCCUAAAGUUUGAAUGAAGUUCAAUAGAAUUUAUACUAGGAUUAAAUUAAGAUUGAAUUGAGAUGUAUUUGAAAUGUAUUUGUAAUCAUUUUAAUAUUUAUUUAAGAUAUUUUAUUGUUUCUUUAUAAUUCCUUUAAGGUUUCUCUAAAUUUUAUUAAAGCUUAUUUAGCAUUGUUAGUGUUCUA
rnacentral:lncRNA from 1 species